ACAUCUGGGAACUAGUUAUGUCCCCUGGGCAUUUUGUUUUCCUGAACAGUAAGAGAAAGCAUCGUUUUCUUUCGCUAAGCCCGCAUCCUCUGACGGAUGUUCCGAAACCGCCAGGUGUGGAAUCUGCGCCCCGACAGCCCCACCUUGGCCCUCGGCCGCGGGAGGACGGCCAACCCUCGGGGCUAUUCCCCACACACAUUGUGCACGAAUUCACCCUGCCUGGCCAGCCGGGAUCACGCAGGGAAAAAGCACCCGCGACCACAGGGUGUUGGUCAUGGCGGCCAGGGGCACUGCGGCAGAUUUUUUUCCUCCCUUCUUUGCUGCAAUCUGGGUGCGGCUAGAGCAAUUUGUCAUAGAAUCUGGGGGGCUCAUUUUUCCGGCCAAUCACUUUUAGAGAAAUGAGCGCAUUGCAGCAGAAUGCGCUGACGUCAGAGACCACCCCUUCUGCGCCUCCAUAUAAACCCCACCCAGCCAGCCCCUAGCGCAGACGGCGGAGAGCGGAGAAGGAGCGCGCCUUGGCUCGCUGGCCUUGGCUGCGGCUCCUCGGGAGAGCUGGGGCGCCCACGCGAGGAUCCCUCACCUGGGUCCCUCCUCAGGGAUGACAUCAUCCAUCCACCUCCUUGUCUUCAAGGACCACCAACUCUCCAUGCCGAGCUGCUGCCAAGGGGCCUGCUGCCCAUCUACACCUCACGAGGGCACUAGGAGCACGGAUUCCUGGAUCCCACCAGCAUGCACAGCAGCCACUGACAGACUCCCAGGACCAGGAUGGCAAAGGAUGAAGAGGACCAGAACUGACCAGCCUGCUGUCCCUCUUGUCUACAGACUUAAACCAAUGCCCUAGUGAGGGGGCAUUGGGUGUUAAGCCCUGACCUUUGCUAUGUUCAUGCUUCGACUGUAUGAGUUCUUUCCUAUACAUCUUUGCUUGUGUUCACCUGCUAGCAAACUGGAGUGUUUCCCUCCCCAAGGGGUCGUCAGUCUUUCUCGACUGUCUGUCAUCACCCUUAUGAUGUCCUAAAUGGAAGGAUCCCUUUGGGAACUUCUCAGGAGGGGGACCUGGGCCGAGGGCUUGACCAGCAUCCUGCUGGCAACUCCAAGGCCCUGGGUGGGCUUCUGGAAUGAGCAUGCAACUGAAUCACCAAAGGCAUGCCACACCUCUCUGGAGAUCUUUCCUGUCCUUUUCUGGGGAAUGGGGUUGAUGGGAGCAACCUCCUAGGGUUGUUGUGAGAAUUAAAUGAGAUUAAAUUGGCUCAGGCAGGGUCUGGCAUAGAGGAGGUGAUCAGCAAAUGUUUGUUGAAAAGUUUUGUCAGGUCAGUCCCUUCGCACCCCUUUUGUGUGUCUUACUCACCCUAUUUAUUCUCUCACAGCACUCCAGGCAGCCCUUGUCCACGGGGCUCUCCUUGCAUCAGCUAAGCUGCUUGAAAGGCCUGUCUACACUCGCUGUCUUCCCUCCUCACCUCCAUUUCCUCUUCAGCCCACUGCUUCCUGACUCGCUCUACUCCGUGGAAGGGCUCUCGCCAAGCGCAGGCUGUUGCUUCUUUGGACCUUUCCUGUCAUUGCCCCCAGCAAUCACUCCACAUCACUGGAGAGCAACCUGCAGCGACGUGGGCCGUGGCCCGGCUGGGUCAGCUGAAGAACUGCAGAUGGAAGUGGAGGAAGAGCCCCUGAUGGGACCCACCACUCCGGACCCAAGUCUUCUUCCUGGCCAACCUCUUGCCUUCUUCCUGGUUUGGGCCGACGCCAUCCUGGAUUCCUGCGUGGGAAGGGACCUUGAAUGUGGGACCCCAGCCCCUCCAGCUUGAAAUCCCUCCACAGCCACGGGGACGCCCUGCACCUAUUCCCACGGGACAGGCUGGACCCAGAGACUCUGGACCCGGGGCACCCCCUUGAGUAGAGACCCGCCCUCUGACUGAUGGACGCCGCUGACCUGGGGUCAGAGCUGCGGGCUGGACCCCUGCCCACCCCGCAGGAACCCAGAGGCCUAGGGGAGCUGCCGAGCCUUCGGUGUCUGCAUGCGGGGAGUGGUGGGCUGGUUCACCUACCUCACAGGGCUGUUGUGAGGGCACUGUGAUUCGGCAAAGCACAGGGCUUGGCACACCCCACUGUGCUCUCAAUAAAUGUGUUUCCUGUCUUAACAAACA